rnacentral:rRNA from 1 species
UGAGGAAUAUUGGUCAAUGGGCGUAAGCCUGAACCAGCCAAGUAGCGUGAAGGAUGAAGGCUCUAUGGGUCGUAAACUUCUUUUAUAAGGGAAUAAAGUGGAGAACGUGUUCUCCUUUGUAUGUACCUUACGAAUAAGGAUCGGCUAACUCCGUGCCAGCAGCCGCGGUAAUACGGAGGAUCCGAGCGUUAUCCGGAUUUAUUGGGUUUAAAGGGAGCGUAGGUGGAUAGUUAAGUCAGUUGUGAAAGUUUGCGGCUCAACCGUAAAAUUGCAGUUGAUACUGGCUAUCUUGAGUACAGUAGAGGUGGGCGGAAUUCGUGGUGUAGCGGUGAAAUGCUUAGAUAUCACGAAGAACUCCAAUUGCGAAGGCAGCUCACUAGACUGGUCACUGACACUGAGGCUCGAAAGUGUGGGUAUCAAACA